CACCGCCCGCUUUUUUACACCAUGGGAGUCAGUUGCUCUAGAAGUCGGUGCGCCAACCUCGGAGGCAGCCGCCUAAAGAGUGACUGGUGACUGGGGUG
rnacentral:rRNA from 1 species